UUGACACGCACACUCCAGCAACAUCAACAACCUGGCUUCUAUAUGUUCCCAAUCAAACGUGUAUAUGCUGAGUUGUAUGAAUUGGUCUACGUGGACGCAGAAACCAAGCACCAUGCAUCAUUGGAAUUAGGGAGAUGCACAUGUCCCAAACCUAAAUCCACAAGCUUGGCUCGUGGCUAGUCACCAAAUUAAAGGGGUCCUCCCACUAUCUAUCUGCUCUAUAUAGAGUGGUCUCUCUUCCAAACCAAUUCAAACUCAACACAACAAUCCAAACACAUACACCACUAGCCUCUUACACAGAUAUAAUAGUGCACCAAUUUAGUAACAUUCAUACACUUGCAUUGUUCGUUCAACUACUUACUCUACAAAAAUGUCUUCCACUUCCAAGGUUAAUGUUGCCCCUUACUGCAACAAGCUUGAAAACGAUGAUCGUGAUGGUGGCUAUGCUCCUGCAACUACUAAUUGCUUUCCACAAGAGGAUAAUAGUGAAUAUGAUCAUUCAAGUUUCAUGGAAGGUGAUGAUGACGAUGAUGGCUAUGACUACGCUCCUGCUGCCUAAUAUACUAAAGCGAAAAGUUCAAGGGCCAGCACAAUUUAGUAUAUAUAUUUGACCAGCACUUAUAGCCCUCUAUAAUUCCUCUUAACUAAAAUGUUCGGUUUUAGUAGUGAUUCUAACAAAAUCCAUCUUAGUUUGUACUUUGGUGCCUCUUAAUUAUAUUAUGCUGAUGUAGGCAUAUCAACCAUAUGAGUUAGUGAGGAGAGCUUUUGUUGUGAAGAAAAUGAUCAACAAUUAAUUAAUGAAAAGCAUAGGCAUAUGCAUAUGUAUGUUAAUCAUCAAUUAAUUAAUGAUUAGUUGUUGAUUAAAAUGCAA